AGAGUUUGAUUAUGGCUCAGGACGAACGCUGGCGGCGCGCCUAACACAUGCAAGUCGAACGAAGGAUAUUUUAUGAAAUUUUCGAAUGGAAUGAAAUAGACUUAGUGGCGGACGGGUGAGUAACACGUGAGCAACCUGCCUAACAGAGGGGGAUAACGUUUGGAAACGAACGCUAAUACCGCAUAACAUGUAUCUAUGGCAUCAUAGAUAGAUCAAAGGAGAAAUCCGCUGAUAGAUGGGCUCGCGUCCGAUUAGCCAGUUGGCGGGGUAACGGCCCACCAAAGCAACGAUCGGUAGCCGGACUGAGAGGUUGAACGGCCACAUUGGGACUGAGACACGGCCCAGACUCCUACGGGAGGCAGCAGUGGGGGAUAUUGGUCAAUGGGGGAAACCCUGAACCAGCGACGCCGCGUGAGGGAAGAAGGUUUUCGGAUUGUAAACCUCUGUCCUCGGUGAAGAUAAUGACGGUAGCCGAGGAGGAAGCUCCGGCUAACUACGUGCCAGCAGCCGCGGUAAUACGUAGGGAGCAAGCGUUGUCCGGAAUUACUGGGUGUAAAGGGAGCGUANGCGGGGAUGCAAGUUGAAUGUUUAAACUAUCGGCUCAACCGGUAGUCGCGUUCAAAACUGCAUUUCUUGAGUGAAGUAGAGGUAGGCGGAAUUCCUAG
rnacentral:rRNA from 1 species